CAGUCGCCGCGGUAAUACGUAGGGCGCAAGCGUUGUCCGGAAUUAUUGGGCGUAAAGAGCUCGUAGGCGGUCUGUCGCGUCUGGUGUGAAAUCCCGAGGCUCAACCUCGGGCUUGCAUCGGGUACGGGCAGACUAGAGUGCGGUAGGGGAGACUGGAAUUCCUGGUGUAGCGGUGGAAUGCGCAGAUAUCAGGAGGAACACCGAUGGCGAAGGCAGGUCUCUGGGCCGCAACUGACGCUGAGGAGCGAAAGCAUGGGGAGCGAACAGGAUUAGAUACCCGGGUAGUCCCUGUCUCUUAUAC
rnacentral:rRNA from 1 species